CCGCAUACGACCUUCGGGUGAAAGCAGGGACCUUCGGGCCUUGCGCGGAUAGAUGAGCCGAUGUCGGAUUAGCUAGUUGGCGGGGUAAAGGCCCACCAAGGCGACGAUCCGUAGCUGGUCUGAGAGGAUGAUCAGCCACACUGGAACUGAGACACGGUCCAGACUCCUACGGGAGGCAGCAGUGGGGAAUAUUGGACAAUGGGCGCAAGCCUGAUCCAGCCAUACCGCGUGGGUGAAGAAGGCCUUCGGGUUGUAAAGCCCUUUUGUUGGGAAAGAAAAGCAGUCGAUUAAUACUCGGUUGUUCUGACGGUACCCAAAGAAUAAGCACCGGCUAACUUCGUGCCAGCAGCCGCGGUAAUACGAAGGGUGCAAGCGUUACUCGGAAUUACUGGGCGUAAAGCGUGCGUGGGUGGUUGUUUAAGUCUGUUGUGAAAGCCCUGGGCUCAACCUGGGAAUUGCAGUGGAUACUGGGCGACUAGAGUGUGGUAGAGGGUAGUGGAAUUCCCGGUGUAGCAGUGAAAUGCGUAGAGAUCGGGAGGAACAUCCAUGGCGAAGGCAGCUACCUGGACCAACACUGACACUGAGGCACGAAAGCGUGGGGAGCAAAC
rnacentral:rRNA from 1 species